rnacentral:lncRNA from 1 species
UCUUUUUCUCUAAUUUGUACACUUGUUUUUUUUUUAUAAAAAAAAAAAAAAAAAAAAAAUUUACAAAAAACUUAUUCUAUACUAUAUUUUUGACUGUUAUAGCAGGUAAUCUAUCCUAUUUUUAUUUUAUAAUUGUGGUAGACAGCUUGCACGCACUUCGAUAAAUUUCAUAAGAUACCGUCCACCUCCAACCAGCAACAGAUAACUCUGUCGACCAAGACUAAGACAUAUGGAAUGAAUCACGUAGUAUUUUUAUCUUCGCUGGAAUAUAAACGUGACGAUAUCUUUAAUUGCUGUAUUGACGACUAGGUCACACCUUUCAUUUUUUUAACUCGAUGGUUACAACCAAACCUUGUCUAGAUUGUUUUAUUUUGAGCCGGGGGUCUAUCGGAAACAGCCUCUCUAUCUCACAUCUGAGGUAGUGGUAUGGACUGCUUACACUUACCCUCCCCAGACCCUACUUGGUGGGAAUAUACUGGGUAUGUUGUUGUUGUUGAUGGUUACAACCAAACGCAUGGUUUAUAUUAUACGCCAUAUAUCCAAACGUCUAUAAAAAGGUAAAAUGGCUGCCCAGUGCACAACCGAGAACCACAAGAGUCUAUUGUACGCAAAGUUAACCAGCGUUUCUGCAAGAUAUUCUUUCCACAACUCGAACCUGUUACCCCUGGUCGCAUGACAGCAACUUUACCAGUUACGCCAAGACAUCCACAAAAUAUCUCAUUACCAUAUAGUCCUCGUUCACAUGACAACAACUUUACCAAUUACGCCAAGACAUCCACAAAGUAUCUCAUCACCAUAUAGUCCCCGUUCACAUGACAACAACUUUACCGGUUACUCCAAGACAUCCACAAGAUAUCUCAUUACCAUAUAGUCCCCGUUCAUAUGACAACAACUUUACCAGUUACGCCAAGACAUCUACAAAAUAUCUCAUUACCAUAUAGUCCCCGUCCACAUGACAACUACUUUACCAGUUACGCCAGGACAUCCACAAGAUAUCUCAUUACCAUAUAGUCCCCGUUCACAUGACAACAACUUUACCAGUUACGCUAAGACAUUCCAAAAAUAUCUCAUUACCAUAUAGUCCCCGUCCACAUGACAACAGCUUUACCGAUUACGCCAAGACAUCCACAAAAUCUCUCAUUACCAUGUAGUCCCCGUUCACAUGACAACAACUUUACCAGUUACACCAAGACAUCUGCAAAGUAUCUCGUUACCAUAUAAUCCCCGUUUAACGAUCCUGCUAUUAUAACAAUCCCAGAAUAACUUGUUCGCAAAUGAAACAACUCCUCAAUGUGUAGAAGUUAAACUACUACUACUACAAUCAACAUAGUCUUCUUCUCUGUCAAGAAAAUUUGUAACCUUCAUGCUAAGCAAGGUUAGGUGAAUGACAGCAACUUUGAACAUCAACAACCUUAUUAUGAGUGAUUGCCAAUUGAUCAAUAGCUAGACCAACAACACAAAAUAGUAACAACAUUUUGAAUGAAACACACAAUGCAGCUCCUCAUAUCGCCGAGUUUGAGGCAUGUUACUGUCCUACCAGCCAAAGGUUUCAAGAAUUUCAUCAAAGUAAAAGUUGGCUCAAGACGAAUAUCGUACCUCGUGGUCUUCUAUUCCCUCCUGCUUUUUACAUUUCUUCUACGGUUUGUCUUCGUGUUAACCGCUGUGGACACCAUCGAUGGAGAACGAAAAUGUUCAACACUAGGUACGUUUCUCUCUUACUCUCUCCUCUGUCUAAACAGAAACUGAGUUCACCACAUCAAGAGGCAUGUAUAAGACAUUGUAUUAAUAUAGUGCUCGAGUUACUGCAGAUAUAAGAAGCAUUAGUUAAUAGUAAAAAUGAUGUUUCUAAACAUAGAAUGAUAUGAAAAUAUUUCAGCGCGAUAUAAUAUCAGAAUGCAGGUACAUCAGGAAACUUAUAAGGCCUCGUUUUGGUCCUGUAGAAUGAAUAUGAUACCUGACGAAAUGAACAUAUAAAAGAUUGGGAUAGCCGGGAUGACCUAUUUCAAGAUCAGAUGAUCCACCUCUUUGUCUGCAUGGAAGGCAAAACAUAAAUUACGAUGGUCGUCUUUAUGUUCUUACAAUUUCUAGAGAACUCUAAAGCAUGUAGAUGAACCAAAAAAUCUACAGAUCCAUGGAUUCAACUUAUCAAAAUCGAUUUAUAAUGUUAGCUAAAAAUACAUAAAGAACAUACGAAGACAGUAAAUUUACACUGUUUUCCCACUGAAGAAACUCUAAAUUUCAUUCUAAGGCAGGUUGCUUGGGGAGAAAAAUUGGACCAAGGAUUUUGGGGACACAGCUCGAAUCAACUGUAUGCUUCUAAGCCCCAUAUUUUUUGUCUUUUUAUGUGCAUAGUAUCUUUGAUAUCUCCUUUGAAUCGUGCUCGUCUAGAGGGAGAUUGGUGUUAUGGCCUAUUACAAAUGUUCUUCUAGUUAUUUCACACUUUACACAACAGAUCAGUACAAAAAAUAACACAGGAGAUCGGUAUAUGAAAGACAAGACAUCUUUGUAGAGUCAUUUACUUCAUUGUUACACAUCAAAAAAGAGUAGCUUAGUCAUAUACUCAUAUAUGUGUAAUUGUAGUACAAAGUAGUCUUAAGGAACUGGUCCUCUCUCGACUGCAAUUCACAGUUAUUCCCAUCAAUAACGUGAGAAAGAACGUGGUGCAAGAGAAGAGAAAACAAUUUCUCAGAAAGUGUCUAGGGGAGAUUGGUUUAAUCGCCUGUUGUUCUUUUAGUUAUUUCGCCUUUUCACAAGAGAUCAGCAAAAAAUUAACAUAAGAGGUCGGUAUAUGAAAGACGAGAGAUCUUUGUAGAGUCAUUUUCUUCUAUUAAAAUCACUAGCUCAAAUUCUUCAUUCUUCUGUACAUUGUUAGGUCCCUGAGGUGAUAUAUCAAGUAUUGGAAGAACCUUCAGACGAGGUUGAAAUCGAAGAAGGGCCUGAUACUCCUCAAUCAUUAGAAGAGUUUAUGGAAGAAAUGAAGGAUAUAAGGCCAGAUGCAGAAACUUUUGCUGUCAAGCUUAAAACUAUGGUAUUAUGUACUUACCAUGCCUUUUCAUCAUAUAUAGAAAUGAAGUAAUUUUAAGGUAACGUAUUAUGUCAUAGACAAAAAACUGCAUGCGAACAAAGAAUUUUACUUGGUUUACUUUCUCGACUAUUGUAAGAUGUCAGUCGUUUAAGUUGCGGAGACAGCCUCUUGUAGAAAUGCAAGGUGAGGCUGCUUGGACUCUUCAAAAUUGCCCACGGGUGUGUGCCGGAUACUUUAAAAGUAAUGCAUUUUUGAAAAGUUCAACAUGGGUGCGGCAACAUUUUUGGAGAGUCUGAGCAACAUUGCCCGCAGCAGACCAAUGGACGAACACCAGUUGAUAAUGGAGUAACAGCCAUGACACGUUCACAAUGUAAUAAUAUUAACUACUUAAGGUCUGACUAGUGUUGAAUUGUAUGACCAUCUCAUCGGAAGGCUUAAGCUAUUUGAGAGAGCAUGUUUUCAUUUACUAAAUUAUGUUGAAUUUCUUGAAGGUAACUCUCCUUGAACAAAGAACAAGAACUGCCAAGAUUCAAGAAUACCUUUAUCGGCAUGUGGCAUCUAGUGGCAUCCCGAAACAGCUGCACUGCCUUGAUCUCAAGCUAGCACACGAGCACUCCAUCAAUGCCAAUGCCCGUCUCCAGUUACCAUCAGCGGAACUUGUUCCUGCCCUCGUUGAUAAUUCAUACUU